AUUCUCUUUGCAUUCUUCAUUCCGAACCAAUCUUUCGCCUUUUACUAAACAUUUCCGUGGAGAAGAAGUUGCAGAGGCUAUGAAAAAUUUUGAUCCUCAGCCUGAGCAGAGU